rnacentral:rRNA from 1 species
UUCAGGACGAACGCUGGCGGCGUGCUUAACACAUGCAAGUCGAACGGAAAGGCCCUGCUUUUGUGGGGUGCUCGAGUGGCGAACGGGUGAGUAACACGUGAGUAACCUGCCCUUGACUUUGGGAUAACUUCAGGAAACUGGGGCUAAUACCGGAUAGGAGCUCCUGCUGCAUGGUGGGGGUUGGAAAGUUUCGGCGGUUGGGGAUGGACUCGCGGCUUAUCAGCUUGUUGGUGGGGUAGUGGCUUACCAAGGCUUUGACGGGUAGCCGGCCUGAGAGGGUGACCGGCCACAUUGGGACUGAGAUACGGCCCAGACUCCUACGGGAGGCAGCAGUGGGGAAUAUUGCACAAUGGGCGGAAGCCUGAUGCAGCAACGCCGCGUGCGGGAUGACGGCCUUCGGGUUGUAAACCGCUUUCGCCUGUGACGAAGCGUGAGUGACGGUAAUGGGUAAAGAAGCACCGGCUAACUACGUGCCAGCAGCCGCGGUGAUACGUAGGGUGCGAGCGUUGUCCGGAUUUAUUGGGCGUAAAGGGCUCGUAGGUGGUUGAUCGCGUCGGAAGUGUAAUCUUGGGGCUUAACCCUGAGCGUGCUUUCGAUACGGGUUGACUUGAGGAAGGUAGGGGAGAAUGGAAUUCCUGGUGGAGCGGUGGAAUGCGCAGAUAUCAGGAGGAACACCAGUGGCGAAGGCGGUUCUCUGGGCCUUUCCUGACGCUGAGGAGCGAAAGCGUGGGGAGCGAACAGGCUUAGAUACCCUGGUAGUCCACGCUGUAAACGGUGGGUACUAGGUGUGGGGUCCAUUCCACGGGUUCCGUGCCGUAGCUAACGCUUUAAGUACCCCGCCUGGGGAGUACGGCCGCAAGGCUAAAACUCAAAGGAAUUGACGGGGCCCCGCACAAGCGGCGGAGCAUGCGGAUUAAUUCGAUGCAACGCGUAGAACCUUACCUGGGUUUGACAUGGAUCGGGAGUGCUCAGAGAUGGGUGUGCCUCUUUUGGGGUCGGUUCACAGGUGGUGCAUGGCUGUCGUCAGCUCGUGUCGUGAGAUGUUGGGUUAAGUCCCGCAACGAGCGCAACCCUUGUUCACUGUUGCCAGCACGUUAUGGUGGGGACUCAGUGGAGACCGCCGGGGUCAACUCGGAGGAAGGUGGGGAUGACGUCAAGUCAUCAUGCCCCUUAUGUCCAGGGCUUCACGCAUGCUACAAUGGCUGGUACAGAGAGUGGCGAGCCUGUGAGGGUGAGCGAAUCUCGGAAAGCCGGUCUCAGUUCGGAUUGGGGUCUGCAACUCGACCUCAUGAAGUCGGAGUCGCUAGUAAUCGCAGAUCAGCAACGCUGCGGUGAAUACGUUCCCGGGGCUUGUACACACCGCCCGUCAAGUCAUGAAAGUUGGUAACACCCGAAGCCGGUGGCCUAACCGUUGUGGGGGAGCCGUCGAAGGUGGGACUGGUG